UACGAAGGGGGCUAGCGUUGUUCGGAAUUACUGGGCGUAAAGCGCACGUAGGCGGACUAUUAAGUCAGGGGUGAAAUCCCGGGGCUCAACCCCGGAACUGCCUUUGAUACUGGUAGUCUCGAGUCCGGAAGAGGUGAGUGGAAUUCCGAGUGUAGAGGUGAAAUUCGUAGAUAUUCGGAGGAACACCAGUGGCGAAGGCGGCAUCCUGGACCGACACUGACGCUGAGGAGCGAAAGCCAGGGGAGCAAACGGG
rnacentral:rRNA from 1 species